rnacentral:sRNA from 1 species
CUCGGCAGUCUGAAGGAACGGCUAGGCAGCCACCUCUGACCACACGUGUGUCCGUGCCAGCGUGGUUAUCUGGGCUGCCUACACGGUUCACACUAACAUCAUGGCUGUUGAUGCCACGUGUUGUGAGGCCUGUGUCAGCUCUUCUCCUGUAUUCCAGGGCAACUCCAACAACAUUGCCACCGUGGACAUCUCCGCAGGCUUCGUGGGCUUAGACACCUACGUGGAAAUCCCAGCCGUGCUCCUGACAGCGUUUGGGACGUACGCAGGGCCUGUGCUGUGGGCCAGCCACUUAGUGCACUUCCUGAGCUCAGAAACACGCAGCGGUUCAGCACUGAGUCAUGCUUGCUUCUGCUACGCACUGGUUUGUUCUAUUCCAGUUUCCACAUAUAUCGUUUUGGUGACAUCUCUGCGUUAUCAUUUAUUUAUAUGGAGUGUAUUUUCUCCAAAACUUCUCUACGAGGGAAUGCAUCUGCUCAUUACAGCUGCUGUCUGUGUAUUCUUCACGGCAAUGGAUCAAACCAGACUCACACAAUCUUAGACUAAGCUGAACACUGGAAAAAUAAUACAUGCGUAAAGUCUGCUGUUAUUCUAAAAGGAAAGAUGUGAUUUCAACAAAGUUGAUGAAUACCUUUCUUUGACUACUGUACCUGAAUUUAGACUAAGCAGUAAAUAGUUUAAUAAAAGAUCACUUUAAUACACAGUUUGUAUCAUAUUUCCCCCAUUGACAAUCACUCUAGAAGCUUCUGAACAUUUAAUUUCCUCUGAAUAAGCUAUGGUAUGACCCAAAUAUGUGUGUUUAAGUCAAUGAAUGAAAAGGUUCUGGACUUCGUUAGAGAGUCCAGGAGCUCUGUGGGAGGAGGCACCUGGAUUAUCUUAGGGAGCACUGAGCUCUUAGAAUCCUACAAACCACUGAGGGCCCCAAGGAGCUUUGGUUUAUGAGGGUUACGUGUAUCAGUGUUUAUGGCAUUUGAGAUGAAAACUAAGAUAAAGUAUUCAUUUAUAAGGAAUCUAUUGCAUAUUAAUAUAACACUUGAAGGAAAAGUAACUAUAUUUUCCAAAACAAAUUCAGUGAGACCCAGCACUUUGGGAGGCCAGAGUAGGGGGAAUCACUUGAGCCCAGGUGUUUGAGAUCAGCCUGGGAAACAUAGUGAGGCCCUCAUCUCUCCAAAAAACUUCAAAAAUUAGCUGGAUGUGAUGGCACACACCUGUGGUCCCAGCUACUCAGGUGGCUGAGGAAAGAGUAUUGUUUCAGCCCAGAAGUUCAAGGCUGCAGUGAGCCAUGAUUGCACCACUAUACUCCAGCCAGCACAACAGAGUGAGACUCUUGUCUUUAAAAUGAAAAAUAAAUGUUUAAUGAGAAAA